GCAAGUCGAGCGGAAACGAUGGUAGCUUGCUACCAGGCGUCGAGCGGCGGACGGGUGAGUAACGCGUGAGAAUCUGCCCAUUUGUGGGGGAUAACUCGGGGAAACUCGAGCUAAUACCGCAUAAUCCCUACGGGGGAAAGCAGGGGACCUUCGGGCCUUGUGCAGAUGGAUGAGCUCGCGUCGGAUUAGCUUGUUGGUGAGGUAAAGGCUCACCAAGGCGACGAUCCGUAGCUGGUCUGAGAGGAAGAUCAGCCACACUGGGACUGAGACACGGCCCAGACUCCUACGGGAGGCAGCAGUGGGGAAUAUUGCACAAUGGGGGAAACCCUGAUGCAGCCAUGCCGCGUGUGUGAAGAAGGCCUUCGGGUUGUAAAGCACUUUCAGUUGUGAGGAAAAGUUAGUAGUUAAUACCUGCUAGCCGUGACGUUAACAACAGAAGAAGCACCGGCUAACUCCGUGCCAGCAGCCGCGGUAAUACGGAGGGUGCGAGCGUUAAUCGGAAUUACUGGGCGUAAAGCGCACGCAGGCGGUUUGUUAAGCUAGAUGUGAAAGCCCCGGGCUCAACCUGGGAUGGUCAUUUAGAACUGGCAGACUAGAGUCUUGGAGAGGGGAGUGGAAUUCCAGGUGUAGCGGUGAAAUGCGUAGAUAUCUGGAGGAACAUCAGUGGCGAAGGCGACUCCCUGGCCAAAGACUGACGCUCAUGUGCGAAAGUGUGGGUAGCGAACAGGAUUAGAUACCCUGGUAGUCCACACCGUAAACGCUGUCUACUAGCUGUGUGUGUCUUUAAGACGUGCGUAGCGAAGCUAACGCGCUAAGUAGACCGCCUGGGGAGUACGGCCGCAAGGUUAAAACUCAAAUGAAUUGACAGGGGCCCGCACAAGCGGUGGAGCAUGUGUUUAAUUCGAUGCAACGCGAAAAUCUUACCUACACUUGACAUGCUGAGAAGUUACUAGAGAUAGUUUCGUGCCUUCGGGAACUCAGACACAGGUGCUGCAUGGCUGUCGUCAGCUCGUGUCGUGGAGAUGUUUGGGUUAAUUCCCGCACCGAGGGCACCCUGUGCUUAUUGUGCGGCCUUAGUUGGGGCAUCUCAG
rnacentral:rRNA from 1 species